AGAGGCAGCGCUGGCGUUGGAGAGUGAUGGCGGCAUGGCGGUGCGGCGGCGGCUGCGAACACCUUGAGGACGGGUCGCAUUAUGUUGCCCAGGCUGGACUUGAACUUCUGGGCUCGAGCAAUUCUCCCACCUCAGCCUACCAAGCAGCUGGGACUACAGGUCUGCACCACUGCACCCCACCCAUUCAAGUCCACAUCCCCAGAAACGAGGAUAAUGCUUGGCACAAGGUGUUUAUAAUUCCCUUGGUUUUCUUCACAAUUUCACCACAUAAAUGUGCUGUGACUGGAAGUUACUGAAGGAGGUUUUGAUGACAAGCUUAAAAAAUUUUUUGCUGAGUGGCUGGCAAGAUGGCCCAAUAGGAACAGCUCCAGCCUGCAGCUCCCAGUGAGAUCAACGCAGAAGAAUUCUUCCAACUUUUAAAUGGAACACAAGUGUCCUUUUAAGGUAAUAACACCUUAUUGUGAGCACUAUUUUAGAAAGUGAUGCACAAAUUGGGAGCUCUUCCGCAGGAUCACCUGAGGUCCAUUGUGCACCCAACACUCUUUUAGAUGGGAACCAAAGUCUCCUCUACAUUUCAGCAAAGAAACUGGGAACUGUAUAUCCCAGAAUCCCCUUCCCUGAGUAGUCCUGGGUUUGAAUUUGCCAAUGAAAGAAACUUGGAAGAAAAUAAUUAUUCUCUGGAUAUGGUUGCAGCCAGAUGUGUGGUCAGAGGUGAGUGCUUGAGAACCACCAGUUUAGUGGUUUUAGUCCGAGUUUGUUCAUAAGACCUUUCUAGAGACACCAGAGAAUUGCAGCAACUUCCAGAUAAGACCUUCAACCAACCACUUCAGUGCUUUAGGCUGAGAUGACUUCUUUGACUUUCAGAGGCAGGACCCCUAAAUGUUGGUAGAAGCUUCUCUAUCUCUGUUCUUCUGUUUUCCAACAGAAGUAUAAACCCCUAAUUCUUUAUUAUGUGCAUCCUUAAGAUCCAUGAUACACAGGGUGGUCUCUGUUUUCCUGAUGAACCACAACUGACUCAAUACUAAUGGUGUCAGUGAGACAGUCAGAAAUAUUUAUGUAGUUACCUAUUCAAAUAUUGGAAUAACUACUUAUAAUUCAUGAAAUUUACUCAAUUUCAGGAAGCCAAUGUUUAGAGGAUUUUUUCUAUAUCCUUUUCCAAUUUACCCAAAGGUGUCAGCAUUACUGAAGUCACAAAGACCUUGGCCAGUGUAUGUAAAUUGAACUUUGAAAAAAAAUUAGCAUUAUAAUAUGCUACAGAUGGUAUAUCAAACUCAAAUAAACUAAUAAUAUUGAAUUAGCAAGCUUUCUUAUCGGAAAAAUACCUCUUGAACAUUGGUAGAGCAUAAAGACUAACUUGAAAUUAAAGGGCAAAAACCAACACAAGCAAAAUGAUAUUAAAAAAAAAAAGCCCAGCUGGACAUGGUGGUUCAUGCCUGUAAUCCCAACACUUUGGGAGGCCAAGACCAGAGGAUUGCUUGAGCACAUGAGUUCGAGACCAGCCUGGACAACAAAGUGGGAUCCUGUCUAUAAAAAAAUAAAAAAAUUAGCCAGGCAUGGUGGCACACAUCUGUAGUCCCAGCUACUCAGAAGGCUGAGGUAGGAGGACUGCUUGAGUCCAGGAGUUUGAGGCUGCAGUGAGCGGUGAUUGUGCCACUGCACUCCAUGAGACCCUGUCUCAAAAAAAAAAAAAAAAAAAGAAA
ensembl:lncRNA LINC01205 long intergenic non-protein coding RNA 1205